UGGGGAAUAUUGCACAAUGGGCGCAAGCCUGAUGCAGCCAUGCCGCGUGUAUGAAGAAGGCCUUCGGGUUGUAAAGUACUUUCAGUCGGGAGGAAGGUGGUAAGGUUAAUAACCUUAUCAAUUGACGUUACCGACAGAAGAAGCACCGGCUAACUCCGUGACAGCAGCCGCGGUAAUACGGAGGGUGCAAGCGUUAAUCGGAAUUACUGGGCGUAAAGCGCACGCAGGCGGUUGAUUGAGUCAGAUGUGAAAUCCCCGGGCUUAACCCGGGAAUUGCAUCUGAUACUGGUCAGCUAUAGUCUUGUAGUGGGGGGUAGAAUUCAAUGUGUAGCGGUGAAAUGCCUAGGGAUGUGGCGGAAUACCGGUGGCGAAGGCGGCCCCCUGUACAAAGACUGACGCUCAGGUGCGAAAGCGUGGGGAGCAAACAGG
rnacentral:rRNA from 1 species